CUCGCCGGCCCCCAUCCCAUUCAGGCUCCGGAAUCCCGGACCCAGAUCCAGACUCCCAGCCCCCCAAGAUCCCAGGAUGUGGGACUCCGUCCGCCUGCCCCUGCUCCCCCAGCCAACGCCCCCACUCCAGGCUCCGGAAUGCGACCCAGGCUGGGAGCCAGCAGAAACCGGAGAAGCCCACAUGGCGCAGCAGACCUCUCCUGUCUCCCUGCUGCUCCCCUCAGCAGUGUAUUGCAGUAGAUCCACCUGUUCUGCUCCCCACUCUGUCUCUGGUGAAUCCUCUCACCUCUCCACACCUCUUCCCAACCUCCCAGCUCUGUCCCCUUGUGUAUUGCCAGCUGUCUUUUAUGUUGGAUAUUUCGACCAGUAUGAGAGCCUGAAAACAGCCCAGGACACAUGGUCACUUUUAGAAGAUCAAAGGGACUCUGGACUAUCUGGGGUCUAAGGGGGAGGACCCCAGCUUCUGAUAAGUUCUUGGAGGAAGCUGUUUGAGCCAAGUAUCCCAAGGGGGGCACAAAGGGAGGAGAGGUUCUCCAGGCAGAAAUAACACCUGGUGAGUUACAAGGCGAAAGGAAACAAGGGAUUCUCAACUGGGGGCGAUCCUCCCUCCCACCCCCCAGGUAAAUUAUAGCCAUAUCGGAAGACAUUUUCCAUUGUCUGGAUUGGAGGCAGGUGCUGAUGCUACUGGCAUCAAGCGUGCGGAUGUGGGAUUGAGGGGGGUGGGGGAGAGCCAUGCCCUGCCUACUGCUUAACACCCUGUGACCAGAUCCCCUAGACUAAAAAUUCGGAAUAAGUGAAAUUAAACUCUAAGCCUUGUACCCUCUCUUCCCUACACCGUCCUCCUGAUGAACUAUUAACUGGUACGAACUGCAUUCGAGGGGCAUCAUCGGAAACAAACAUCUACUGAUUGCUGAGAAAACACCCUACUGGGAAAGUUAACCCCCCCCUCCUGCUGUCUAGACCGCCUGCACCUCCUCCUCGGACCUGGAAAUGAGAAGCCCCACACUUCCCUCACAUUCCUUCUCCCCUUGCAUUGUGUAAUCACUGAGCUCCUGCCAUUCCAGGAGCUAGAUUUUUGGGGGGUGCCUAUCCUGCUGACUCCCUUGAUGGCCAUUUCCAAUAAACUCUUUUGUGU